GUGUCAGCCGCCGCGGUAAUACGAAGGGGGCUAGCGUUGUUCGGAGUUACUGGGCGUAAAGGGCGCGUAGGCGGCUUGACAAGUCAGGCGUGAAAGCCCCGGGCUUAACCCGGGAAUUGCGCUUGAUACUGUCUGGCUGGAGUCCGGGAGAGGAUGGCGGAAUUCCCAGUGUAGAGGUGAAAUUCGUAGAUAUUGGGAAGAACACCGGUGGCGAAGGCGGCCAUCUGGACCGGUACUGACGCUGAGGCGCGAAAGCGUGGGGAGCAAACAGGAUUAGAAACCCUCGUAGUCC
rnacentral:rRNA from 1 species